UACGUAGGGUGCAAGCGUUGUCCGGAAUUAUUGGGCGUAAAGAGCUCGUAGGCGGUUUGUCGCGUCUGCUGUGAAAACCCGAGGCUCAACCUCGGGCCUGCAGUGGGUACGGGCAGACUAGAGUGCGGUAGGGGAGAUUGGAAUUCCUGGUGUAGCGGUGAAAUGCGUAGAUAUCGGGAGGAACACCAGUGGCGAAGGCAGCUCGCUGGGACGGUACUGACGCUGAGACGCGAAAGCGUGGGGAGCAAACAGG
rnacentral:rRNA from 1 species